GGGAUAACUUCGGGAAACCGGAGCUAAUACCGGAUAAUAUUUCGAACCGCAUGGUUCGAUAGUGAAAGAUGGUUUUGCUAUCACUUAUAGAUGGACCCGCGCCGUAUUAGCUAGUUGGUAAGGUAACGGCUUACCAAGGCGACGAUACGUAGCCGACCUGAGAGGGGGAUCGGCCACACUGGAACUGAGACACGGUCCAGACUCCUACGGGAGGCAGCAGUAGGGAAUCUUCCGCAAUGGGCGAAAGCCUGACGGAGCAACGCCGCGUGAGUGCUGAAGGUCUUCGGAUCGUAAAACUCUGUUAUUAGGGAAGAACAUACGUGUAAGUAACUAUGCACGUCUUGACGGUACCUAAUCAGAAAGCCACGGCUAACUACGUGCCAGCUGCCGCGGUAAUACGUAGGUGGCAAGCGUUAUCCGGAAUUAUUGGGCGUACAGCGCGCGUAGGC
rnacentral:rRNA from 1 species